rnacentral:tRNA from 1 species
GCGGAAAUGGCGGAAUAGGUAGACGCGCUAGAUUCAGGUUCUAGUGGAUAAAUAUCCAUGGGGGUUCGAGUCCCCCUUUCCGCACCA